UCUCUAUGCUCUCUCUCUUCAUCUCCUUUCUCUAUCUCGGUAGGGAUCUUUCUCUCAUCUACUCGAAGCUCUCUUCAUCUCAUAAGCAAUUCGGUCCCUCUGGAAGCGAAACCAAUGUUUCUUUGUAUUAAAAAAGCCCUGGUACUCUCUCUCUUUGACCAUCACAGCCAUAUGAUCUCCCUGCCAUUGGUUCAUUCUCCAUUGUCAUGGUUCAAUGGCUCUUACAAGAGGGAUUUCAAAGCCAUGGUCAGUAGACAGGUAUGGAAAUGGGAGAUUUGAAAGGGUUUUCGGGCUUAGCUCUUUGGAAGGGAGCAUUGGGGAGAGAUGAGUAGGAAAUUGGAGGUGGUAAUGGGCGCUUGUGUGACUAUGAUAUUCGGUGUUGCGAAUGGAGUUCUAUAUAAGAUGUUUGUUAUUCAAUUGAUUCAGUGUCCCUUCUUUCUUGCUCAAAUUGCAACUUUUGGCAGUCUUGGGAAGUUGCAUGCUUUGGUUACAUCCCAGGUCAACAAGCAUGCGUAUAAUAGCAAACAGUCUGAUCAGAACACACUUGAACAGAUACAAUGCCAGAAAAGAUGGCAGCUAGCAUAUUGUGCAAGUUGAAAAGCUUGCAUACAUCUCCAAAACCCAUAAUUUCAGAUGUGCUUCGUAUAGUUGCAACACUUGGCAAAGUACAUGAUGAUAACUUGAGCAGUCUCUAGGCACCACUUGAAAUCAUGUCUGGACACUGAUGCGGUUAAACUUGGGAAGAGAAAAAAGUAUGUUGCAGCUUUGGUUGCAUAUGCAGCAGCCUUUGCAACUGCGAAAGCUACAAUAUCCAAUAUUGUCGAGAGACCACCUCAUCCUCGAUGGUUAUUUAGAAAUCCUAUGUAAACUAUAAUCAACGAUGAUGUCGAAUGCCACAACCAAAUUAGAAUGAGUCCGAGGACCUUCUUUGUACUAAGAGAUAUUCUCAAAGAGAGAGGCAAUAUACGAGAUACCAUAAUGUAACAUUGGAAGAGCAGCUGGUCAUGUUCCUACAUACUCUUAGCCACAAUUUGAAGAAUCGGAAAAUUGGUCAUGAUUUUGGCUAUUCCAGCGAGACAGCGAGUCGACAUUUUAAUAGAGUGUUGAAUGCAAUCUUAGCCCUCUAUCGUGAUUUUAUGAAACCACCUGCUUUGGCGACGCCUCCUCAGAUUAACAAUGUGGACAGGUUUAGAGAUUACUUGAAGGAAUGGAUAUUGAAGAGGUGAGCAGCCAGUCAAUAACUGGGUCGAAGAAAUUAGCGUGGACUCAGCAGAUGGAACUUUAUUUUGGACUUGCUCAUUGACCAAACAAGCCUAGGAAAAAAAGCAGAAAAUGUUUAGAAAACAGGCGUGGAAAGCAAAUCAAGUUAAAUUCAAUAAAGAGUUUGGGAUGAAUGUACAGAAAGAACUAUUUAAGUACAAGUAUCGGAACUUGAAAGACAAAUACAAAGCCAUAAAGGAACUGAAAAGCCAAAGUGCAGUUGGAUGGAACAAAUCACAACAAAUGUCUUAUGCUGAUGAUCUAUUUUGGAAUGAUUAAUUGAAGAGUCGCCCAGCUGCGAAACCUUUCCAAGACAAACCUGUGACACGUUGGAGGGAGUUAUGUAUUAUCAUUGGUGAUGACAUCGCUGAUGGUGGUGGGGCUAGGACCUGUGCUGAAGCCAAUGCUACUCGUAAUGUUGGAUUUGAUGGGGAAAAUGUCGUAGGAAUGGAUGAGGAGGUUAACGAACAAGAUGAUGAGGUAGAGGAGCCCUUAAUGCCUAGGACGUCAGUUGGAAAGGGUGCUGCAACCUUUGAGGCACGAUCAACAACAAAGAAGGGCAAAAAGAGGAAGAAAACUAAUGUGGCGCAUUAUUGGAUAGAAUGGGUUAAAGAUUGGGAGAGGCUAUGGACCAAUUGCGUGAGGAAGAAAGGCCAUAUAUCAAGAGUGUUUAUGAUGCAUUGGGCAAGAUCUCAGUACUUGAUGUAGAUUUGAAAUUAGCAGUAUGUCAAGCAAUCGCUUACCAUGCAGCUAUGAGUAACAUAUUCUUGACUAUGAACGAGGAAGAAAUGAUUGUUUGGAUCCGCAAGAAAUAUGGCAUAUGAGAUAUUGAGGACUUGUCAGAUGCUUUUUGAUAUUUGUGGACUUGACUUCCUUUUUUCAAAUAAAAAAGCAUAUGACAAGUCAUCAAUAUCUUAGUUGCCAUAAUUCUUGCAGAUCCAAACAAUCAUUUCUUCCUCACUCAUAGUCACUCAUAGUGGCAUGGUAAGUGAUUGUUUGCAAUGUUUCUAAUUUCAAAUCUACAUCAAGUACUAGGAUCUUGCCCAAUGCAUGCAUUUUCAUCUCGCCCAGAGUGGAUUAUACUUCUUUUUUGGAGUUGUUUUGGAUUUGUCAUCUUCUUAUUUCUCAAUUAGUUUUCAAUGCAGUUAUUUGAUGCUUCUUGAAUAUGAAUGCUGAACUCAUGAGCUGUGGCUUAUAUUACAUUUCUUUGAAUAUGAUGAAUGUAGUUCUCUCCUGAGCUAGUGCUAUCAUCUUAA